rnacentral:rRNA from 1 species
GAUGAACGCUGGCGGCGUGCCUAAUACAUGCAAGUCGAGCGAACAGAUAAGGAGCUUGCUCCUUUGACGUUAGCGGCGGACGGGUGAGUAACACGUGGGUAACCUACCUAUAAGACGGGAAAAACUCCGGAAAACCGGGGCAAAUCCCGGAUAACCUUUAGAACCGCAGGGUUCUAAGGUGAAAGAUGGUUUUGCUAUCACUUGUAGAUGGACCCGCGCCGUAUUAGCUAGUUGGUAAGGUAACGGCUUACCAAGGCAACGAUACGUAGCCGACGUGAGAGGGUGAUCGGCCACCCUGGAACUGAGACACGGUCCAGACUCCUACGGUAGGCAGCAGUAGGGAAUCUUCCGCAAUGGGCGAGAGCAUGACGGAGCAACGCCGCGUGAGUGAUGACGGUCUUCGGAUCGUAAAACUCUGUUAUUAGGGAAGAACAAAUGUGUAAGUAACUGUGCACGUCUUGACGGUACCUAAUCAGAAAGCCACGGCUAACUACGUG